ACGGCUCAGUAACACGUGGAUAACCUGCCCUUGGGUCUGGCAUAACCCCGGGAAACUGGGGAUAAUACCGGAUAACGCAUAUAUGCUGGAAUUCUUUAUGCGUGAAAUGGAUUCGUCUGCCCAAGGAUGGGUCUGCGGCCUAUCAGGUAGUAGUGGGUGUAAUGUACCUACUAGCCGACGACGGGUACGGGUUGUGAGAGCAAGAGCCCGGAGAUGGAUUCUGAGACAUGAAUCCAGGCCCUACGGGGCGCAGCAGGCGCAAAAACUUUACAAUGCGGGAAACCGUGAUAAGGGGACACCGAGUGCCAGCAUCAUAUGUUGGCUGUCCGGGUGUGUAAAAUACACCUGUUAGCAAGGGCCGGGCAAGACCGGUGCCAGCCGCCGCGGUAACACCGGCGGCCCGAGUGGUGAUCGUGUUUAUUGGGUCUAAAGGGUCCGUAGCCGGUUUGGUCAGUCCUCCGGGAAAUCUGACGGCUUAACCGUUAGGCUUUCGGGGGAUACUGCCAGACUUGGAACCGGGAGAGGUAAGAGGUACUACAGGGGUAGGAGUGAAAUCUUGUAAUCCCUGUGGGACCACCUGUGGCGAAGGCGUCUUACCAGAACGGGUUCGACGGUGAGGGACGAAAGCUGGGGGCACGAACCGGAUUAGAUACCCGGGUAGUCCCAGCCGUAAACGAUGCUCGCUAGGUGUCAGGCAUGGCGCGACCGUGUCUGGUGCCGCAGGGAAGCCGUGAAGCGAGCCACCUGGGAAGUACGGCCGCAAGGCUGAAACUUAAAGGAAUUGGCGGGGGAGCAC
rnacentral:rRNA from 1 species